AAACGGCUGCUAGGGCCUAGGAGGAGAAAAAGGGCGUGGGAGAAUAACCUAAACAAAUAGUCUUCUUUGGGAGUCAAGAAAAAUGGCUGCUAGGGGAAGAAAAGAGGAGAAUUUGGGCGGCUGCUGGUAGAAAGAAAUUGAGUAACAGUAGGGCUGUUGAACUUUAUUAUAUAUACACAUUGGAGGCAGCUAACGGAGUUGUUGGGAAAUUAAAAAGGUAGCUGCUUGGAGGAAAAUAAAAGUUGGCGUUGGGCAUUGCAGGCUGUGGGAAGAAAGGAAAGGGAAGAAUUCUUGGGUCUUCGCUUUGGAAUUCAAUCACAGUGGCAGCCAACUUAAAGGAAGCAAAACGGGAGAAUAAUCUAGAGAAAAUUGGUCCCUUUUUGGUGUUAAAAAAAGGCAGCAGCUGGGAAAAUUAAUUAGAGAUAAACACAUACAAAAAGAGAUGCUGGGGGUCAACAUAUAUACAUACAAGCUGCCAAAUUUGGGCAGUAAAAAAAGAACAGAGCUGCUGGAAAGAAGGCAAAGAAAAUUGGCUGAUAUAUAUUUACAGCAAUUGUGGCGAAAAAUUGAAAGGAAUUGGAGACUAAUCUAUAGACAAAAAGGCAACCAAUUGAGGGAUUAAUACACGUUGAUACACACGGGAACCGAGAGGAAGAAAAACCAUAGAAAAGCUGCUUGGAAAUAAGAAAUUGAUUUCUCAUUGGAUUCCAAGAAAGGCUGCGGGCUGAGCUUUUUGUGCAACUUUCUUCAAGAAUUGUGCAAGGAGCUUGAAAAUUAAUCACCUUCCAUCGAAUCUUGAUGAUGUCUUUCCACUUUUAUGUCUUUAAUCUCAACAUUAUGUUAGGCUAAAUCUUUUCAUGUAUAUAUUGGAUGGAUGACAAAAUUGUUUAGUUCUUAAUUUUAAUUUAAGACUUUAGUUUUUAUGUUAAUACUUGCAUUGUGAUUUCAUUAAAAUGCAUAAUUACAUUGUUUUAAAGUUUACGCACCAUUAGGAC
rnacentral:lncRNA from 1 species